CAUUCCAAAACUGUAUUU
rnacentral:snRNA from 1 species